AAACUCGAGGACAUAUGCUAUUAAAAGAUUUAUAUGAGUUAAAUUCUGUCGAGCGUGUCAAAGUAGCUAGAAACAGUCUUGGGCAGCCAAUUGGAUCAGAAGCUCAACUUUUAGCAAGAUACUUGGGCAUUAUAGCAUAAAAUGUCAAUCUGUUGCCUAUCAACUACGAGUCAUGACAUCAUAUGUCUGAUAGUAACAAAAAUCAAGCUCUUGAUAAUAUUAAGGAGAGAUUUGCUUUAGAGGUCUCGAAUAAUUAUGUGAAGAAGGCAUCAGGAAAAAAAUAGAGAGACCAUAAAAGUUCUUUAAAGAAGGAAUAUUUUAAGAAAAAUAUAAGUCUCGAAGAGAAAUUGUGAAAUGUCCUGCCGAGAAUGCUGAGGUACCAAUGGGAAGAUGCAAUUAGAUUUUGGAAUUCAAAGAAAGGAGAGGAUCGUGAGCGAGUUAGAACUACAAGUAGGCAAAAACAAAAAUUCACGCACACAGUUGGGUCAAAAAGUUUUGC